CCUACGGGUGGCAGCAGUGGGGAAUAUUGCACAAUGGGCGGAACCCUGAUGCAGCGACGCCGCGUGAAGGAAGAAGGGUUUCGGUUCGUAAAGUUCUAUCAGCAGGGACGAAAGAAAUGACGGUACCUGACUAAGAAGCCCCGGCUAACUACGUGCCAGCAGCCGCGGUAAUACGUAGGGGGCAAGCGUUAUCCGGAGUUACUGGGUGUAAAGGGUGAGUAGGCGGCAUGGCAAGCCUGAAGUGAAAGCCUGGGGCUUAACCCGAGGAUUGCAUUUGAAACUGUAAGGCUGGAGUGCAGGAGAGGAAAGCGGAAUUCCUAGUGUAGCGGUGAAAUGCGUAGAUAUUAGGAGGAACACCAGUGGCGAAGGCGGCUUUCUGGACUGAAACUGACGCUGAGGCACGAAAGCGUGGGGAGCGAACAGGAUUAGAUACCCGUGUAGUC
rnacentral:rRNA from 1 species